GACGAACGCUGGCGGCGUGCUUAACACAUGCAAGUCGAGCGGAGCGGCGAACGGGUGAGUAACGCGCGAGUAACUGCCCCCCUGUCUGGGAUAACAGCUGGAAACGGCUGCUCAUACCGGAUAGUGGGGGAUGACUCGCGUCCUAUCAGCUUGUUGGUCGGGUAGUGGCCUACCAAUUCGACGACGGGUAGCCGGCCUGAGAGGGCAACCGGCCACAAUGGGCUGAGAUACUGCCCAAACUCCUACGGGCGGAAGCGGUGGGGAAUAUUUCAGAGUAGGGGAAACCCUGAGGCAGCAACGCCGCGUGCGGAAUGACGGCUUUCGGGUGGUAAACCGCUUUCAGCCAUGACGCGGUAGUGGCAGAAGAAGCACCGGCUAACUACGUGCCAGCAGCCGCGGUAAUAC
rnacentral:rRNA from 1 species